UUUCUCUCCAUGUGCCGACAGCUCACACCGCCAGGAAUCCGCUUACAGAGCGUCCAAAUUAAACAGGGACCUCCGCGUUUCACUUCAUUAUUCUCGGCUGUCUUCAUUCCGCCGCUUAUUAAGGCAGUGCAACAGCUACACGUACGUCUUCGCUUCUAUUUCGGAGACGUUUAAAGCGCGUCUGCUUUGUUUUUGCCCUGGAAGUAUUCUUCUUAUUUUUUUCUUUCUUUUUUUUUUCUUUCUUUCUUUCUUUUUUUUUAAACACAUACGGACGUGUUCUGCAGCUCCGCGAAGAGCGACCUCGACUUUAGUAGACAUGUGUGUGAGACAACACUGUCAAUUUAAGACCCUCAUCACGGUUUUGGUGCUUGCUGCAGCUGUGGGCAAAAUACACGGUCAAGGCCAGAAGGCAAGCUUUGGUGAGCGAACACUGGACCCAGACACGGAUGUUUUCACACACUCGUCGACGCAGGACACAGAGAGUGAAGUUCACUCAGUCACCACCCACUCACCGGGACACAUCCCAGACCAUCGACCCGUCCUCAAGGGCAUGCUGCUUCACGAGCACCUUCUUACGAGAGACUUCCAAGGGGACCAGCAUUUUUUUAGGAGGGAUGGCUCUGUAGCUGCAUAUCCCACCAUGCCUAGCUCUGUGCCUGCCUCAGAUGUAGGAGACCCCAUCACUCAGUUGGUGCCCCAUGAGGAUGCCCCGGCCUUUUCAGACAUUGCCUCCACUGCCACUGCAGCUGCUACCUCCCCACUGACCACAUUUUCUCCCACCACACCAAGGCCACCCAUGUCUCUUCCUCAAAAGAAGCCCACUGUGGACAAGACCAGGGAAGCAGAGAAAGUAGCUCCUACCACAGACUCCCUAACCACUCAAGUGACACCAAAUAAUAAAAAUGAGAACAACCCCGGGACUUCUUUAUCAUUUCAGAGAACUAGGCCUCCAAGUUGGAGUGUUUUUCCAGCAGAGGCUACUCCUGCGUCCUUUUCGGUGAUGACAGAGAAAGGGGAAGCUAAGGAAACACUCAAAAACAAAAGCAACCCUGACAACUUCUCAUCAACUCCCCGCUUAAGAAGUACCCCCACAAAGUCCACCACUGUGAUCACAGCUACCACCAUCACCACCAUGCAAACAUCUGAACCAUGCAGUCUGAAUUUCACUGACCCUGAAGGCAACAUCGAAAUCCAGCAGCCGGUUGACCCUGGAGUGGAGUGUAACUACUUGGUGACUGUGUAUCUGGGAUAUGGCAUCGAGGUUCAGGUCUUGAAUGUGAGUAUGCUGGAGGGGGAGCAGGUGAUAGUGGAGGACACAGGUGGUCGAGAGCCCUCCAUCCUGGCCAAUGAGACCGUCUUGUUGCGAGGCCUUGUAUUACGCAGCUGGAGCAACCAAAUUUCCAUCCGCUUCCGUAGUGACCAUCAGUCUAAUUCUGGAUUCCUCCUCCUGCGUUACCAAGCCUUUGUGUUGAGCUGUGCAUUCCCAAAGGAACCUGCAGGUGGAGAGGUUUCUGUGACGCACCUCCAUCCUGGUGGAGAAGCUUACUUCAGCUGUUUUACCGGCUACAAAGUGCAAGGUCCUAAAAUGCUUACCUGCCGCAAUGCAACCACACCUUAUUGGAGCGGGAAGGAACCCAGAUGUGUGGCAUCCUGUGGGGGGAUGAUAAAAAAUGCCACCUAUGGCCGCAUCGUAUCUCCUGGUUUCCCUGGCAACUACAGCAACAAUCUAACAUGCCACUGGGUCCUGGAGGCCCCCGAAGGCCAUCGACUCCACAUUCACUUUGAGAAGGUGGCUCUGGCAGAAGAUGAUGACAGGCUGCUGAUUAAAAAUGGUAACAACAUAGACUCUCCACCUGUGUAUGACUCCUAUGAGGUAGAGUAUUUGCCAAAUGAAGGUGUUACCAGCACCGGACGUUACCUGUUUGUAGAGUUUACCACAGAUGGGACUUUGACCUCCACCGGUGCAGCCAUCAGAUAUGAAUCUUUUGCCAAAGGGAUGUGCUAUGAGCCCUUUGUAAAGUACGGAAACUUCAGCAGCUCUGACUCCACCUACGCUGUGGGAGCCGUGGUUGAAUUCUCAUGUGACCCUGGGUACACGCUGGAGCAAGGCUCUGUAGUGAUUGAGUGCGUGGAUGCACAAAACCCACAGUGGAAUGAGACGGAGCCAGCCUGUAGAGCUGUGUGCAGUGGGGAGAUCACAGACUCUGCUGGUGUUGUGUUGUCUCCUAAUUGGCCUGAGUCCUACGACAAGGGGCAAGACUGCAUCUGGGGCAUUCAUGUGGAAGAGGACAAGAGGAUCAUGCUUGACAUCCAAGUUCUCCAUUUGGGGAAGAAUGACCUUCUGACCUUCUAUGAUGGUGAUGACCUGACAGCCAACAUCCUGGGCCAGUACAGUGGCACUCGACCGCACUUCAAACUCUACACAUCUAUGGCUGAUGUCACUGUUCAGUUUCAGUCCGAUCCAGCCACUAAUAUCUAUGGAUACAACAAUGGAUUUGUGGUCCACUUCUUUGAGGUGGCGAGGAACGACACCUGCUCUGAGCUACCGGAAAUCACCAACGGCUGGAAGAGCACAUCCCACCCUGACCUUAUCCACGGCACCGUCGUCACCUAUCAGUGCUACCCUGGAUUUGAGCUGGUGGGGUCUGAGAUCCUCAUGUGCCAGUGGGAUCUUACAUGGAGCGGUGAUGUGCCGAGAUGUGAGGAAGUCAUGACAUGCCAGGACCCGGGAAACGCUGAGCACAGUCGCAGGGUGGUCACCGGCAGCCGCUUUACUGUGGGAUCAACAGUGCAGUUUAUCUGUCAUAAAGGCUACGUCUUAUCUGGCAACAGCCUCCUCACCUGCUACAACCGUGAUUCGGCCACGCCAAAGUGGAGCGAGAGGCUGCCCAAAUGUGUCCCUGAAAAAUACGAGCCGUGCAGGAACCCUGGUGCUGCCUCCACUAGCGUGCAGAGCUCUGAAAAAGCCUUCUAUCAAGCAGGAGAGACACUUACCUUCUCCUGCCACUCAGGCUACGAGCUGCAAGGCCACGCCACCAUUUACUGUGUGCCUGGACACCCAUCACAGUGGAAUAGCACUCCCCCUGCCUGUAGACCAUCUUCAACCCCGUAUGUGGAUGAACGCAGGUUGGAUGUUGUUAAUUUGGAUUAUGGUGUGGAAGGAACCAACAUUGCCCUCGCUGUUUUCAUUCCAACUGCAAUCAUCAUGGUGGUUGUACUUGGGAUUUAUGUCUACUUUGCAAAGCUUCAGGGAAAGUCGAUCAGAAUGCCAUCAUCCUCACCACCCUACGACAACAUGACAGAAGAGUCGGCUUUUGAAAACCCAGUCUAUGAGAGUGGAGUAAGUACUGAUGACAUGAACAUGCAGGAUGUGGAUUCACAGAACACCAGCGUCCUGUCUUGAUCCUCUGCCAUCUGGCUGUCAUCCUGGCAUCAUCUCAUUUUUCACCAGCAGAGGGCCUCAUUCAUUUCAUCUUCCAUCUCCAUAUCAUGAGUGAGUGAGCAAUGAACUGCUGGACCCUGAUAAUAACUCUACUGGAAUUACAAAGAAAAGACACGUUCCUCAACUUAUACACUGAGGUCAAAAGAUUCCUUUCCAUCCCUUAUAAUCCAUCAUGUUCUUGUAGAAGUGAGAAUGAUAUUUAAGUGUUACAUCUUUCAUGCUGUGAGUCAUCUGUUUCCCAUGUCAUUAUAUAAAUGUUGCAUUAAACACUACCUCUUGAUAAGUUUAUCUCAUGUAGCCACGACAUCCAUGUGAAAUAAAACAAUAUGCAUUUUCAACCUGCUACAUAUAGUUGUUAUCUAAACUAUGAAAUAAUGUCUAUAAAUCUACCAGAAAUAUAACUAUAGCGUUAACACAAGCUGAAGCAAAAUGUAUCAGCACAGUUUCUCUCUGGUCUAUUAUUUCUUGACAUAAAUUGCUUUCAGUUGUGACUUGAGCGUCCUCUCCAUUUUUCCUGCUCUCAUAGCACUGGCAGACCCGUUCUAGAUACUAAAUGGUGUGGGUCUGUCCACUUUGGCUGAACUGCAGAAGACCUAUAAGGACAAAUGAAAAACAUUAAGAGGUGUCCAUAAAGAGACCUUAAAGCAAGAAUUGCUCAAGCUUUGCCUUUUGGAACCCUCUCUGCACUGCUCAUCUUUUCCUUUUAUUUCCAAAUUGUUUCUUUCCAUUUUCCCUUUGUGCUGAUAUCUGUAAAUAUGUCCUUCUUUCCACGGUCAAUUCUGUGAAUCUGUGGAUCACCAUGGUGAUAUUUUUAUAAUGUAAAUUGCUAAUGACCGUUGGUGAUUGUAUGUUUUUCAGUACUUUUUGAGUCCCUAUGCCACUAGCAAUUAGAGAUGGAAGGAAAUGGUGCUCUGAUUGUUGAGAUUUGUCAGAAGAAAAUGCCCGGUCACUGACAUUCUUUGAAAAUUUGCCACCAUGACUAUUUUUCUUUAUGUGUAAGGUUCUGCUAUUUGUAAAUAAACUGCCUGUCCAAUA